GCAGGCUACUUGCCUCGGGGGACACAGAUAGCAAGUGACAGAUGCUGGAAUUUAAAGGGACUAUCACAUCUGGCUGCUGCAGUCACAUUUAAGGCUCCCCGUCACCACCCCCUGCCCAUGGCAGGGUCGGGAGACCUCAGCCUCCAGACUCCACCACAGAGAGAAUACCCAGGAGUGAGAGUUCCAUGCCAUUCAAAGCCAGAUUUUACAUUCCAUGGGAACAUUCGUGAAAAGAACAGCUCUUCAAGAGAAUUAAGCAUGAUUGUGCAAUGACAACUAACGACUGAAGAACAGAAAUACAGGACAAAAGGAGACUGUAACUAUUCUACCCUCUACUGCCACCAUCACCCUGUGCAUACACAUGUGCUGCUAAUACUGUUCCUACCACUAACAAAAACUCAU